rnacentral:rRNA from 1 species
GAUGAACGCUGGCGGCGUGCCUAACACAUGCAAGUCGAACGAAGCACCUUUUAAGAUUCUUCGGAUGAUUGAUUGGUGACUGAGUGGCGGACGGGUGAGUAACGCGUGGGUAACCUGCCCUGUACAGGGGGAUAACAGUUGGAAACGGCUGCUAAUACCGCAUAAGCGCACGAGAGGACAUCCUCUUGUGUGAAAAACUCCGGUGGUACAGGAUGGGCCCGCGUCUGAUUAGCUGGUUGGUAGGGUAACGGCCUACCAAGGCGACGAUCAGUAGCCGGUCUGAGAGGAUGAACGGCCACAUUGGAACUGAGACACGGUCCAAACUCCUACGGGAGGCAGCAGCGGGGAAUAUUGCACAAUGGGGGAAACCCUGAUGCAGCAACGCCGCGUGAGUGAAGAAGUAUUUCGGUAUGUAAAGCUCUAUCAGCAGGGAAGAUAAUGACGGUACCUAACCAGAAAGCCACGGCUAACUACGUGCCAGCCGCCGCAGUAA